CUCGCUGUUAGUUGCCAUCAUUUAGUUGGGAACUCUAACAGGACUGCCCGUGCUAAGCCGGAGGAAGGUGGGGAUGACGUCCAGUCCUCCUGGGCCUUACGGGGUGGGCUACACACCUGCUACAAUGGUGACUACAAAGGGCAAAUCCCUAAAAGUCAUCUCACUUCGGAUCGUCCUCUGCAACUCGUGGGCAUGAAGUUGGAAUCCCUAGUAAUCGCAGAUCAGCAUGCCUCGGUGAAUA
rnacentral:rRNA from 1 species